rnacentral:lncRNA from 1 species
UGUGACCUCAUACAAAGGCUUGGCUAAUACUGCAAUGUUUGGGAUCCACAGUCUACGAAACCCCACAGCUCCUAAGAAUUCUCUCACCUGCCUUCUGCCCUUAAGCUCCGGUAGAUUGCAAAUAACCUGCUUUCUUUCUGUUCCCGAGCUGCGUUCGGACCCAUGUCUUAUUGUAAAUCCCACGCAAGCUGCGUUCGGACCCGUCUGAUCGUAAAUCCCAUGUAAGGUACCUGCCGUCGGAAGAUUUGAACGUUCUACUUGGACACCUAAAACCCACAGUCCUCCAGACAGAAAGACAACAGGUACAAAGCCCUAAGGAUUAUAAAGGUAUGCUGCUUACCAUCAUCUUAGUGACCAAGGCAGCGAAGCUGUUUCUGUACCUUGGAACAGUCUUCCCUGACAAGCCAGAGAACAGUGAUAAAGCCACCAGCCUUGGGAUCAGGACUGAAAAGGCAAGAGUGAUGGAGAUUUCUCCUGCGCUAAGCCAAGAGAAGGUUUCAGCACUUCAGACAGCUCCCACCGAAGUAGCCGCGCUCCCAGCUGCUUGCAGAUGUUGAAAAGGAAAGCCUCGGUUUGUCUUGAGGUUGUCAGCAGGUGCAAGACACGUAAUAAAAUGCAAUGUGUUCCUAAUUCAUUGCAUAUCC